rnacentral:rRNA from 1 species
GGUAUUUGUUGCUAGCUGGUCUUAUCGGCCAUGUUGGUUAACAGAUCCUCAUCUGCUGGACGUCUGGCGAUGAUCUUUAUCGGUUGUCGUCAGUUGCCAGCACGUUUACUUUGAGAAAAUUAGAGUGCUAAAAGCAGGCUCACGCCUAUAUAUAUUGCAUGGAAUAAUGAAAUAAGAUCUCGAUUUUAUUUCGUUGGUUUUAGAAAUUGAGAUA